CGCUUUUCCGAACAUCAUCGUAGGCUGGCGGUUCGGCUGCCUGGUUCUCCAUGGUUCGGCAGAUGGAUUGUUAAUCCUUCACCGCCGAAGGGUAGUGGGAUCAGAUGAAAGGGUUCAGUGACGCUCCUCUGGUGGGGUAAACAUUCCCCUGAGAGAACAAAUGGGGAGCAGUAGUUGCUGCUACUCACAGUAAAUGGGUUGACAGACAUCGGUCGCUGGACUUUGGUGGUUGACUCAGUCAUAGGGAAA